AACAAAAAUUAAUGAUGAGUUAAUCAUUUCGUAACCAUGGAUCCUACAUCUCCCUACCCUUCAUAAUUUUUCAUAAGCGUAGAAAAAAGAAAACCAAAAUAAUAAAACCAAAAAAUUAGCUUAAUCACAUCUCUACCAACAGUAACCGAAACUACAACUUUGGCGAAACACCACCUACACCUCCAACUGCGGUGCUCCUCAACCGCCCUUCCAAGUGUGGCUCUGCGUGAACAGUUCCAAUUGCGGCAACUCUCUUAUCCGCACUUCCAAGUGCGCCUCUACCUAAUUCACAAUUCCAGGUGCGAUUAAGGCGUCACUCUCGUAUCCAACAUCCCCAACCCCAAAUCAAGCAGCCCCAACCCCAGAUCAUAGCCCCUCCGUACAUGCAUACAAUAAUAACAACAGAUAAAAAAACAAUCAUUUUAUUACAUUACAACAAAAUAAUCAUCAUGCAUUAUAUACGAGCAGCUUAAGGAAAUCACACAAUAACUAACCUGGACGCCAAAGCUAAGCUUGAUAAACCACUACUAUGUUACAACUCACCAACAGCAACAACACCACACAACCACCAAACCAGAAACCAAAGAGGAGGGAAAGAGGGGAUUCAAAAUAAAUGGUUAAAGUGAGGGAGGAAGGGAGGAGGGGAGUAAUGUUGGAAGAGAGGAGAAAGAAAGGGUAACUGAGAUAUGAAAUAUGGNACAAAGGAAGAAAGGAGGAAAAAGGAGUGUAGAGUUUUCGAAUGUGAAAUGCGACACUGCACUAGAGUGGAGAAAGGAGUGUAGGGUUUGCUUCUUUUUAUUGAAUGGAUGGGUCAGCCUUUUUUUUNAAAUCAAAAUAUUCCGUGACAGAGGGUUACAAUUGGAAAUAUCAAAAUAAUGGGAGGUGCAGGGUGAAGACUGUGAGGUGAAGGGCCUUCCUUGGAAAAUUGUAAGGGUAGAAUAAAUGAUAGAUUAUAAGUGGAUGAGAUAGAGUAGACAAUAUAUAUAUAUAUAUAUAUAUAUAUAUAUAUAUAUAUAUUUCUUAGCUCUUUUACUAUUUUACAUCUCUUUUACACCAUUGUAUGUUUUUUAGUAUUGUUAAGACUUCGGCAAGUGUACCGAAUCGUAUCAAGUAAUAAUAAGUGGUAAGAACAAGUAUNGUUUCCCUAGAGACUCAUAGGCCUAGACUUUCAUGUGAUUUGUUGAUUAUUUAANACUUGAGAAAAUGAAAUUUAGGGUUUAGAAUGCAAAAAAACGAAAAUUAAAUAUGCAUACAAGGUUGAUCAAUUGGCAGUUGAAUGAUAUGGAUGAAUUGUGUUGUUGGGGUUUCCGACUUAUCCUAAUUCACUCUCAUGUAUUUACGAAUUCUACUUUUUCAUUAAUGUUAAUGCCACUUUCUAAUUUACCCUAAUCCCAAUGCCUUAGUGAAGAGAGCCU
rnacentral:lncRNA from 1 species